UACGUAGGGUGCAAGCGUUGUCCGGAAUUAUUGGGCGUAAAGAGCUCGUAGGCGGUUUGUCGCGUCUGCUGUGAAAACCCGAGGCUCAACCUCGGGCCUGCAGUGGGUACGGGCAGACUAGAGUGUGGUAGGGGAGAUUGAAUUCCUGGUGUAGCGGUGGAAUGCGCAGAUAUCAGGAGGGACACCGAUGGCGAAGGCAGAUCUCUGGGCCGUAACUGACGCUGAGGAGCGAAAGUAUGGGGAGCGAACAGG
rnacentral:rRNA from 1 species